rnacentral:rRNA from 1 species
UUCCUUCGGGAAAUGAGUAAAGUGGACCAAGGGUGAGCUACCCGUGAACAACCUACCCCCGAAUCUGGAAUAACCUGGAGAAAGUCGGGCUAAUACCGGAUAUGACCACACUUCACAAGAUGUGCGGUAAAAGGAGGCUCAACCUUCGUUUGGGGAUGGUUUCGCGGACCAUUAUCUGGUUGGGGGGAUAAUAUCUCACCAAGGCUACAAUGGUUACCCGGGCUGAAAGGGUGAUCAGCCACUCUGGAUCUUAUACACCGUCCAGACUCCAAGAGGAGGCAGCAGUGAUGAAUUUUGCGCACUGGGCGAAAACCUGACGCAACUUCCCCGCGUGAGGGAUGAAGGCCUUCGGGUUGUAACCCUCUGUCAAAUGGCAAGAAAUCUGACGGUACCAUUAGGGGAAGCCCCCGCUAACUCCGUGCCAGCACCCGCGCUCAUACCUGAGGGCGAAAGCGUUGUUUAGAAUCUUGGAGCGUAAAGCGUAUGUAGGCGGUCGAUUUAAUCAGGCGAGCAAGCCCGUGGCUCCACUACGGAAUUGCGUUUGAAGCUGAUCGGCUCGCUCGCGAGAGAGGAAGCGUAAUUUCCAGUGUAGAUGGUGAAAUGCAUUGAUCAUUGAAAACAACACUAGUGGCGAAGGCGACUUUCUGGACUGUUACUGACGCUGAGAUAUUAACGCUAGGGGAGCGAACGGG